rnacentral:rRNA from 1 species
UGCCAGCCGCCGCGGUAAUACGGAGGGGGCUAGCGUUGUUCGGAAUAACUGGGCGUAAAGCGCGCGUAGGCGGAUUAUUAAGUCGGGUGUGAAAGCCCGGGGCUCAACCCCGGAAGUGCAUUGGAAACUGGCGAACUUGAGUACGGGAGAGGAAAGUGGAAUUCCGAGUGUAGGGGUGAAAUCCGUAGAUAUUCGGAGGAACACCAGUGGCGAAGGCGACUUGCUGGACUGUAACUGACGCUGAGGCUCGAAAGCGUGGGGAGCGAACAGGAUUAGAUA